GGUUAAGCGACUAAGCGUACACGGUGGAUGCCCUGGCAGUCAGAGGCGAUGAAGGACGUGCUAAUCUGCGAUAAGCGUCGGUAAGGUGAUAUGAACCGUUAUAACCGGCGAUUUCCGAAUGGGGAAACCCAGUGUGAUUCGUCACACUAUCAUUAACUGAAUCCAUAGGUUAAUGAGGCGAACCGGGGGAACUGAAACAUCUAAGUACCCCGAGGAAAAGAAAUCAACCGAGAUUCCCCCAGUAGCGGCGAGCGAACGGGGAGCAGCCCAGAGCCUGAAUCAGUGUGUGUGUUAGUGGAAGCGUCUGGAAAGGCGCGCGAUACAGGGUGACAGCCCCGUACACAAAAAUGCACAUGCUGUGAGCUCGAUGAGUAGGGCGGGACACGUGGUAUCCUGUCUGAAUAUGGGGGGACCAUCCUCCAAGGCUAAAUACUCCUGACUGACCGAUAGUGAACCAGUACCGUGAGGGAAAGGCGAAAAGAACCCCGGCGAGGGGAGUGAAAAAGAACCUGAAACCGUGUACGUACAAGCAGUGGGAGCACAGAGCAAUCUGUGUGACUGCGUACCUUUUGUAUAAUGGGUCAGCGACUUAUAUUCUGUAGCAAGGUUAACCGAAUAGGGGAGCCGAAGGGAAACCGAGUCUUAACUGGGCGUUAAGUUGCAGGGUAUAGACCCGAAACCCGGUGAUCUAGCCAUGGGCAGGUUGAAGGUUGGGUAACACUAACUGGAGGACCGAACCGACUAAUGUUGAAAAAUUAGCGGAUGACUUGUGGCUGGGGGUGAAAGGCCAAUCAAACCGGGAGAUAGCUGGUUCUCCCCGAAAGCUAUUUAGGUAGCGCCUCGUGAAUUCAUCUCCGGGGGUAGAGCACUGUUUCGGCAAGGGGGUCAUCCCGACUUACCAACCCGAUGCAAACUGCGAAUACCGGAGAAUGUUAUCACGGGAGACACACGGCGGGUGCUAACGUCCGUCGUGAAGAGGGAAACAACCCAGACCGCCAGCUAAGGUCCCAAAGUCAUGGUUAAGUGGGAAACGAUGUGGGAAGGCCCAGACAGCCAGGAUGUUGGCUUAGAAGCAGCCAUCAUUUAAAGAAAGCGUAAUAGCUCACUGGUCGAGUCGGCCUGCGCGGAAGAUGUAACGGGGCUAAACCAUGCACCGAAGCUGCGGCAGCGACGCUUAUGCGUUGUUGGGUAGGGGAGCGUUCUGUAAGCCUGCGAAGGUGUACUGUGAGGUAUGCUGGAGGUAUCAGAAGUGCGAAUGCUGACAUAAGUAACGAUAAAGCGGGUGAAAAGCCCGCUCGCCGGAAGACCAAGGGUUCCUGUCCAACGUUAAUCGGGGCAGGGUGAGUCGACCCCUAAGGCGAGGCCGAAAGGCGUAGUCGAUGGGAAACAGGUUAAUAUUCCUGUACUUGGUGUUACUGCGAAGGGGGGACGGAGAAGGCUAUGUUGGCCGGGCGACGGUUGUCCCGGUUUAAGCGUGUAGGCUGGUUUUCCAGGCAAAUCCGGAAAAUCAAGGCUGAGGCGUGAUGACGAGGCACUACGGUGCUGAAGCAACAAAUGCCCUGCUUCCAGGAAAAGCCUCUAAGCAUCAGGUAACAUCAAAUCGUACCCCAAACCGACACAGGUGGUCAGGUAGAGAAUACCAAGGCGCUUGAGAGAACUCGGGUGAAGGAACUAGGCAAAAUGGUGCCGUAACUUCGGGAGAAGGCACGCUGAUAUGUAGGUGAAGUCCCUCGCGGAUGGAGCUGAAAUCAGUCGAAGAUACCAGCUGGCUGCAACUGUUUAUUAAAAACACAGCACUGUGCAAACACGAAAGUGGACGUAUACGGUGUGACGCCUGCCCGGUGCCGGAAGGUUAAUUGAUGGGGUCAGCGCAAGCGAAGCUCUUGAUCGAAGCCCCGGUAAACGGCGGCCGUAACUAUAACGGUCCUAAGGUAGCGAAAUUCCUUGUCGGGUAAGUUCCGACCUGCACGAAUGGCGUAAUGAUGGCCAGGCUGUCUCCACCCGAGACUCAGUGAAAUUGAACUCGCUGUGAAGAUGCAGUGUACCCGCGGCAAGACGGAAAGACCCCGUGAACCUUUACUAUAGCUUGACACUGAACAUUGAGCCUUGAUGUGUAGGAUAGGUGGGAGGCUUUGAAGUGUGGACGCCAGUCUGCAUGGAGCCGACCUUGAAAUACCACCCUUUAAUGUUUGAUGUUCUAACGUUGACCCGUAAUCCGGGUUGCGGACAGUGUCUGGUGGGUAGUUUGACUGGGGCGGUCUCCUCCUAAAGAGUAACGGAGGAGCACGAAGGUUGGCUAAUCCUGGUCGGACAUCAGGAGGUUAGUGCAAUGGCAUAAGCCAGCUUGACUGCGAGCGUGACGGCGCGAGCAGGUGCGAAAGCAGGUCAUAGUGAUCCGGUGGUUCUGAAUGGAAGGGCCAUCGCUCAACGGAUAAAAGGUACUCCGGGGAUAACAGGCUGAUACCGCCCAAGAGUUCAUAUCGACGGCGGUGUUUGGCACCUCGAUGUCGGCUCAUCACAUCCUGGGGCUGAAGUAGGUCCCAAGGGUAUGGCUGUUCGCCAUUUAAAGUGGUACGCGAGCUGGGUUUAGAACGUCGUGAGACAGUUCGGUCCCUAUCUGCCGUGGGCGCUGGAGAAUUGAGGGGGGCUGCUCCUAGUACGAGAGGACCGGAGUGGACGCAUCACUGGUGUUCGGGUUGUCAUGCCAAUGGCACUGCCCGGUAGCUAAAUGCGGAAGAGAUAAGUGCUGAAAGCAUCUAAGCACGAAACUUGCCCCGAGAUGAGUUCUCCCUGACUCCUUGAGAGUCCUGAAGGAACGUUGAAGACGACGACGUUGAUAGGCCGGGUGUGUAAGCGCAGCGAUGCGUUGAGCUAACCGGUACUAAUGAACCGUGAGGCUUAACCUU
rnacentral:rRNA from 1 species